GACGAACGCUGGCGGCGUGCCUAAUACAUGCAAGUUGAGCGCUGAAGGUUGGUACUUGUCCCUACUGGAUGAGCAGCGCACGGGUGAGUAACGCGUGGGGAAUCUGCCUUUGAGCGGGGGACAACAUUUGGAAACGAAUGCUAAUACCGCAUAAAAACUUUAAACACACGUUUUAAGUUUGAAAGAUGCAAUUGCAUCACUCAAAGAUGAUCCCGCGUUGUAUUAGCUAGUUGGUGAGGUAAAGGCUCACCAAGGCGAUGAUACAUAGCCGACCUGAGAGGGGGAUCGGCCACAGUGGGACUGAGACAAGGCCCAAACGCCUACGGGAGGCAGCAGGAGGGAAUCUGCGGCAAUGGACGAAAGGCUGACCGAGCAACGGCGCGGGAGGGAAGAAGGGUGUCGGAUCGUAAAACUCUGUUGGUAGAGAAGAAAGGUGGUGAGAGUGGAAAGCUCAUCAAGUGACGGUAACUACACAGAAAGGGACGGCUAACUACGUG
rnacentral:rRNA from 1 species